GGAAGUGCUGCAGGUUGAUGGUAGACCAUCUGCUUUGGAAUUCAGAAGGACAUAGGUUCAAUUCCUGGCAUCUCCA